rnacentral:rRNA from 1 species
AUUGAACGCUGGCGGCAGGCCUAACACAUGCAAGUCGAACGGUAACAGGAAGAAGCUUGCUUCUUUGCUGACGAGUGGCGGACGGGUGAGUAAUGUCUGGGAAACUGCCUGAUGGAGGGGGAUAACUACUGGAAACGGUAGCUAAUACCGCAUAACGUCGCAAGACCAAAGAGGGGGACCUUCGGGCCUCUUGCCAUCGGAUGUGCCCAGAUGGGAUUAGCUAGUAGGUGGGGUAACGGCUCACCUAGGCGACGAUCCCUAGCUGGUCUGAGAGGAUGAACAGCCACACUGGAACUGAGACACGGUCCAGACUCCUACGGGAGGCAGCAGUGGGGAAUAUUGCACAAUGGGCGCAAGCCUGAUGCAGCCAUGCCGCGUGUAUGAAGAAGGCCUUCGGGUUGUAAAGUACUUUCAGCGGGGAGGAAGGGAGUAAAGUUAAUACCUUGGCUCAUUGACGUUACCCGCAGAAGAAGCACCGGCUAACUCCGUG